rfam:Capsicum annuum cultivar Zunla-1 chromosome 7, whole genome shotgun sequence
GUUCUUUUCGGGGACAUCCGAUAAAAUUGGAGCAAUACAGAAAAUAUUAACAUGUCCCGUGCACAAGGGCAUGCAAUGACGAGUGAUGGUCCAAAAAUUA